GAUGAACGCUAGCUACAGGCUUAACACAUGCAAGUCGAGGGGAAACGAUAGAGAAAGCUUGCUUUUUCUAGGCGUCGACCGGCGCACGGGUGAGUAACGCGUAUCCAACCUGCCCAUCACUUGGGGAUAACCUUGCGGAAGUAAGACUAAUACCCAAUGAUAUCUCUAGAAGACAUCUGAAGGAGAUUACAGAAUUAUCGGUGAGGGAUGGGGAUGCGUCUGAUUAGCUUGUUGGCGGGGUAACGGGCCACCAAGGCGACGAUCAGUAGGGGUUCUGAGAGGACGGUGCCCCACCUUGGAACUGAGACACGGUCCAAACUCCUACGGGAGGCAGCAGUGAGGAAUAUUGGUCAAUGGACGAGAGUCUGAACCAGCCAAGUAGCGUGCAGGAUGGCGGCCCUAUGGGUUGUAAACUGCUUUUAUAAGGGAAUAAAGUGAGUCUCGUGAGACUUUUUGCAUGUACCUUAUGAAUAAGGACCGGCUAAUUCCGUGCCAGCCGCCGCUGUAA
rnacentral:rRNA from 1 species